AAUAAAUACAACCUAAAUUUCCGUGUCCAACUUUAAUCGUUCGUCUUAUUUAAUUUUUUUAUAAUUAGUAUUUCUAUUGUUAUUAGAUUAUAAAACAUGAAUAGUAUUUUAUGCGUGACUUAUGUUUUUUUAGCUUUCUAAAAAAACGAAUAAUCAAAGUUGGACACGGAAUUGGCUCAUGACUACGUUUAUU
rfam:Oryza glaberrima chromosome 11 Oglab11_0038_2, whole genome shotgun sequence.